CUUAUCUCUGGAUGACUGC
rnacentral:piRNA from 1 species